rnacentral:sRNA from 1 species
UACCAAAAUACUGCCGACUUUUGCUAA